rnacentral:lncRNA from 1 species
AAGUUUCACUUUGCUCGUCCGCCCGCGCUAAUUCUCUGGUGGGAGUGGGAUUCACGGGCCUGGUAACGCGGGGUCGAGGAGUACCCCAAACGAGCCAAACUGGGCGAAGACUAGGAGAUACUGAUUUUCUUUUCUCCCAACUUCCCCAACCAGAAUUGCCUCUCCCUCCCCUGCCCCUUCUGGAAAGAUUUAUCUUUUCAUCCAAUACCCACAAAUGGGCAUGAUGCGUAGUUUUGAUAAACGUAAUUAAUUGAAAUUCCAUAAAAGCUAGUUUUCGUUUUCUGAGUUUUCAGUCGUUCAUUCGCAUAGACACUCCCUCCAAAGCCUAAAAUUAAGGUCUGGCCAGCAACAAAAGAAUUUAGAGAAGCCCAGGACUGGAUCGUUUUAGUCUAUUGUUGAAAUUCAGAUUCGGAGGCAGCACCCUAAAAUGUUUCACCUCUGGGUCUUCACGUCGUUACACAUGGCUGAGUGAGGAGGUGUUCCCUAAAGGUUUGAGUAAUGAGGCCAGGCGCCGUCACUCACGCCUGUAAUCCCAUCACUUUGGGAGGCUGAAGUGAGCGGAUCACUUCAGGAGUUCAAGACCAGCUUGGCCAACAUGGUGAAAUCCCAUCUCUACGAAAAAUACAAAAAAUUAGCUGGGCGUGGUGGCGGGUGCCUGUAGUCCCAGCUACUGGGAAGGCUGAGGCAGCAUAAUCGGCUGCUCGGGAAGCUGAGGGGGGAGAAUCGCUUGAACCUGGGAGGUGGAGGUUGCAGUGAGCCGAGAUCGCACCAUUGCAUUCCAGCCUGGUCAACAAGAGCGAAACUUCGUCUCAAAAAGAAAAAAAAAAAGGUUUGAGUAAUGAAAGAAGGAAUUUAUAAUUCUGUUAAGCAAUUUUCCAGUCUCUGCUGUCAGGCCUCUCAGCCGAAGCUCAACCAUUGUAACCCCUGUGACUUGCACAUAUGCGUCCAGAUGGCCUGCGGGAGCCAAGAAGUCUGGGGCAGCCAAAAACCCACAAAAGAAGUAAAACAGCCACUUCCUGCCUUAACUGAUUAACAAACAUUCCACCAUUGUGACUGGUCCCUGCCCUACCUUAACUGAUCAACCAUCCUUGUGACAUUCUUCUUCUGGACAAUAAGUCUUAUGAUCUCCCCAUCAUGUACCUUGUGACCCCCUCCCCUGCUAACAAUAGAUAACAACCACCUUUUACUGUAAUUUUCCAUUACCUACCUAAAUCCUAUAAAGCAACCCCUUCCCCAUCUCCCUUCAUUGAUUCUCUUUUCGGACUCAGCCCACUUGCACCCAAGUGAAUAAACAGCCUUGUUGCUCACACAAAGCCUGUUGGUGGUCUCUUCACACGGAUGCAUUUGACAUUUGGUGCUAUGACUUGGAUCGGGGGACCUUCCUUGGGAGAUCAAUCCCCUGUCCUCCCGCUCUUUGCUCCGUGAGGAAGAUCUACCUACGACCUCGGGUCCUCAGACCAGCCCAAGGAACAUCUCACCAAUUUUAAAUCGGUGACCCACUGGAAAUCAGACCGCCCAGCUCACCCGGCAGCCACUUCCAGAGCCCAGCCCCUAAAGCUCUGGCCCAAGGGUCUCUGACUGACUCCUUACCAGACCUGCUCAGCUUAGUGGCUGAAGACUGACGCUGCCCAAUCACCUUGGAAGCCCCCUGGACCAUCAUGGAUGCCAAGCUUCGGGUAACUUUCACAGUGGAGGACAGGAAUGUCAGGCCUCUGCGCCGAAGCUCAGCCAUUGUAACCCCUGUGACUUGCACAUAUGUGUCCAGAUGGCCUGCAGGAGCCAAGAAGUCUGGGGCAGCUGAAAAACCACAAAAGAAGUAAAACAGCCAGUUCCUGCCUUAACAGAUUAACCAACAUUCCACCAUUCCACCAUUGUGACUGGUCCCUGCCCUACCUUAAUGGAUCGAUUGACCUUGUGACAUUCUUCUUCUGGACAAUGAGUCUUAUGAUCUCCCUACCAUGUACCUUGUGACCCCCCUCCUCUGCUAACAAUAGAUAACCACCUUUUAGUGUAAUUUUCCAUUACCUACCCAACUCCUAUAGGGCAACCCCUUCCCCAUCUCCCUUCGCUGACUCUCUUUUCAGACUCAGCCCACUUGCACCCAAGUGAAUAAACAGCCUUGUUGCUCACACAAAGCCUGUUGGUGGCGUCUUCACACAGACAUGCGUGACAUCUGCUCACCCACCUCUAAUACUGCAGAUUGAACAGUUCCCUUUGGAAAGCCCUUCCUGAUGUUGAGCUAAAAUGUCUUCCUGUCAUGUCCAUUCAUUAGUAGAAUAAACAUUUUAUCCAAAUGAGGCUGAUUAAACCAGAGGUUUAUGCAAAGGUGUAUGCAUCAAAGAUAGUGAUUUCCUGAGUGGAAGAAUUAAAUACCAGCUAAGAGUGAUUACAUAAAGCAUGGACCUUUUAUCUCUAUAGAAAAAACGCUACCUGACAAUAUUUCAAGUUAGAAUUUUGCUUUUCUUUUUCUCAAGUCAGGGUCUCAUUCUGUCACACAGACUGGAGUGCAGUGGUGCGAUCAUGCUGGCUAAUUUUUAAAUUUUUUGUAGACAGGGUCUGCUAUGUUGCCCAGGUUGGUCUAGAGCUCCUGGGCUCAAGGGAUCCUCCUACCUUGGCCUCCCAAAGUGCUGGGAUUACAGGCAUGAGGCACCUCGCCCAGCCCAAAUUAGGAUUUUUCUGGAGUGUAUAUUAGCACUUUCCUGAAAGGCAGCAAAUGUUUCAAAAGUUCACACCCUUUAACUCAAUAAUUACACAUCUAGGAAUCUUAUUCUCUGAAAAUAGUAUAGCAUGGAAAACGUUUUUUGCACAAAUUUUUGUUUUUUUAACCACAGUGUUUCUUUUAAAAUGUUAUUAAAAGAAUAAAAACAACCAAAAAUGUUCCUCAGAAGCAAUAUGUAAAUUCUGAAUACCAGAUAAACUACUAGGCAAGCAUCUAAAAUAAAGUUUACAGAUUUUCUUAAAACAUGAUGAAAUACUUGUGUAUUCAAUGGAUAUUCCAAGGCUCAGCUUCUAUAAAAAAAAUCUAACUCUGAGUAAGGGGAUCCAUAACAG